rnacentral:rRNA from 1 species
UGGGGAAUAUUGCACAAUGGGCGCAAGCCUGAUGCAGCCAUGCCGCGUGUAUGAAGAAGGCCUUCGGGUUGUAAAGUACUUUCAGCGAGGAGGAAGGCGUUGUGGUUAAUAACCGCAACGAUUGACGUUACUCGCAGAAGAAGCACCGGCUAACUCCGUGCCAGCAGCCGCGGUAAUACGGAGGGUGCAAGCGUUAAUCGGAAUUACUGGGCGUAAAGCGCACGCAGGCGGUCUGUCAAGUCGGAUGUGAAAUCCCCGGGAUCAACCUGGGAACUGCAUCCGAAACUGGCAGGCUAGAGUCUUGUAGAGGGGGGUAGAAUUCCAGGUGUAGCGGUGAAAUGCGUAGAGAUCUGGAGGAAUACCGGUGGCGAAGGCGGCCCCCUGGACAAAGACUGACGCUCAGGUGCGAAAGCGUGGGGAGCAAACA